GACGAACGCUGGCGGCGUGCUUAACACAUGCGAGUCGAACGGAAAGGCCCUGCUUUUGUGGGGUGCUCGAGUGGCGAACGGGUGAGUAACACGUGAGUAACCUGCCCUUGACUUUGGGAUAACUUCAGGAAACUGGGGCUAAUACCGGAUAGGAGCUCCUGCUGCAUGGUGGGGGUUGGAAAGUUUCGGCGGUUGGGGAUGGACUCGCGGCUUAUCAGCUUGUUGGGGGGGUAGUGGCUUACCAAGGCUUUGACGGGUAGCCGGCCUGAGAGGGUGACCGGCCACAUUGGGACUGAGAUAGGGCCCAGACUGCUACGGGAGGCAGCGGUGGAGAGUAUUGCACAAUGGGCGGAAGCGUGAUGCAGAAACGCCGCGUGCGGGAUGACGGCCUUCGGGUUGUAAACCGCUUUCGCCUGUGACGAAGCGUGAGUGACGGUAAUGGGUAAAGAAGCACCGGCUAACUACGUG
rnacentral:rRNA from 1 species